UAGUCAUAUGCUUGUCUCAAAGAUUAAGCCAUGCAUGUCUAAGCACAGCUGGUAACAGUGAAGCCGCGAAUAGCUCAUUACAACAGCCGUUGUUUCUUGGAUCUACUCUCUACUUGGAUAACUGUGGUAAUUCUAGAGCUAAUACAUGCAUCCAGACCCGACGCAAGGACGGUCGCAUUUAUUAGAACAAAACCAUCCGGUCCCCGGACCGUACUUUGGUGACUCUGAAUAACUGAGCGAAUCACACGGUCUCGCACCGGUGAUGUAUCUUUCAAGUGUCUGCCUUAUCAACUUUCGAUGGUAGUUUAUGUGCCUACCAUGGUUGUAACGGGUAACGGAGAAUCAGGGUUUGACUCCGGAGAGGGAGCCUGAGAAACGGCUACCACUUCUAAGGAAGGCAGCAGGCGCGCAAAUUACCCAUUCUCGGUACGAGGAGGUAGUGACGAAAAAUACCAAGCCGAGGCUCAUUGAGUUUCGGCAUUGGAAUGAGAACAAUCCAAAUCUUUUGACGAGGAUCUAGU
rnacentral:rRNA from 1 species